UCUGCUGGAAUGCAGCAAAGCUUCGGCUUUCUUUAGNUCAGAGAGGGUGAAANUCCCGUUACUUCCAAUUGCUUAGUNCCAAAUAUGUUGACGCUUUAAAGAGUAGGAUUGUUUGGGAAUGCAAUCCAAAAUGGGUGGUAAAUUCCAUCUAAGGCUAAAUAUUAGCAAGAGACCGAUAGCGAACAAGUACCGUGAGGGAAAGAUGAAAAGAACUCUGAAGAGAGAGUUCAAUAGUACGUGAAAUUGCUGAAAGGGAAACGCUUGAAACGAUUGUUAUCACUUUAACUAUUUUUUUUUAAUUAAUUUAAAAAUGGUUAAAGACUUUAAAUGAUAAGGCAGCAGCAAUAUUGCUUGGCUUUGACGUCAAUUAGAAAAUGUAGCCUUCGGGUAUUAUAGUUCUUUUUUGCACUAAACCAAGCGGGAUUGAGGAUCGCCAAGUCUUUUGCGUCGUUUUUUGCUCAUGUUUAGCGGCCGUUUAUAAGGCGUUGCUUUGUCAACACUUGUAAGCGCUCGUUAAGCAUUGUGUAAAGGCACGUUCGACUUGAAGGUUGCUGUCAAAAUNGUUUUAAUCGACC
rnacentral:rRNA from 1 species